CGUAAACACACCCAGCCUGGCGGACACGUGCUGGGUCCCUCCCUCCUCUAGUGCGGCCAUAUACCUCCCAACCCUACACACCUCCACCAACUGGAAACUCCAACCCCACACCACCAUCCUAGGGGCAGAGCUCUUUGCCAUCAGGGAAGGCCCCACAGCAGCGACAACGCUUCCCCCACACCAAUCAGUCUCCCUCUUUACUGACUCCCUCACUUCCCUCCAACUCCUCUCAACUCACAGACCUCACACACACCACACACUAUGCUUUGCCAUCCACUCCCUCUUGGCACAGCUGACCUCCGGGGGCAGACGGGUCCACCUUCAGUGGGUCCCUUCCCACAUAGGCAUCGUGGGCAACACAGUGGUGGACCAAGCUGCCAACCUGGCACCCCCCCCCCCCCAGCCAAUUCACAGCCCUCCGGACCACAGUGACCUCAAGACCCACCUCCGACAGUCCUCCAACAGCCACUGGACCACCAGACUAACGAUAGACCUCAGACAGCUCACCCUCGGCCACUACAGAUACUCCCCCGCCCGGCACUGGCGCCCCUUCUCCCCCAGUCGCCCACUGGACACAGCCAUCACCCGUCUAAGGAUUGGACACACCCGCCUCAACGCCCACCUGCACAGACUGAACAUAGUCCGAGACCCACGCUGCCCAUGGUGCCCCACACAACCUGACACACCAGAACACCUCCUCCUCCACUGCCCAAGAUUCCACUCCCUCCGCACCACCCUCAAAGCAUCUUUAACCAGUCUCCAUAUUCACAGGCCAACCCUAGAGGACCUACUGGGCAGCGACACCCUCAGCCCCAACACUGCCUUCCACGCCCUCAAGUGCACGCAAACCUUCCUGCAGAAGUCGGGGCAACUCGACAGGAUCUAACUCCCGCCCUGGUGACAGGACGGCCAACACAAUCAACGACUCCUGAUAACAACUACCACUGACGGGGCUCUUGAGGCUGUGGGCCCACAGCCUAACUAGCCCCAUAAAACACCCACGAAGAAGAAGAAGAAGUCAUCGUGGGCAACACCAUGGUGGACAACCUGGCACACCAAUACACAGACCACACUGACCUCCUCCGACAGUCCUCCAACAGACACUGGACUAACGGCUGACCUCAGACAGCUCACGGUACAGACACUCCCCCGCCCAGUACCACUCCCACGAGAGGCCACUCCUUUAAGCUUUUUGUUCCUCGUUACAAUACUGAUGUUCGAGCUCGUUUCUUCUCUGUGCGAGUCAUUAGCAUUUGGAAUAAUUUACCAGAAUCAGUUGUUGUGGUGAAUUCUGUUAAUGCUUUCAAACGGCAUCUCCACACUUCUCUCGGUCAAAUUUUGUAUGAUUUUGAUUGACUUUGGGUUGUUGAGUAUCUCUUUAACUUGUAAACUUGUGUCCUGUGCUGUACUGCGUCUCCACUCGGGAUUGCCAACCUGACUAUAUUGUCUUGGAACUUACUCAAGAGUAUUAUGGCAGUUGUUUGUGUGGUCUUGGUGAUGCCACAUUAGCCAACCAUCAGAACAUCUAAAGGACAAUCUACUUGCUGUCUUGGUUGGAGGCAUCACCUGAUUCUAGAUGGGGUUCUCCCCAUCUAGGUAAGAAAUCUAGGUAAGAAAUCCCCCAGCCGUCCCCUGGACACACCCGCCUCACCUGCACAGUCCACAUGGUGCCCCACACACACCAGAACACCUCCUCCUCCACUGCCCAAGAUUCCACUCACCAACCUCAAGUCAUCCCUAACCAGCAUCCGCAUUCACAGGCCAACCCUGGAGGACCUGCUGGGCAGCGACACCCUCAGCCCCAACACUCAAGCCUUCCAAGUGUACGCAAACCUUCCUGCAGAAGUCGGGGCGGCAACUCGACAGAAUCUAACCCCACUCUGGUGACAGAACGACAAACAAAAGCCUGAUACCAACUACCACUGAAGGGGCUGUGGAGGCUGUGGCCCCACAGCCCCAUAAAACACCCAAGAAGAAGAAGAAGGUGAUGCCCCGGAGGAUAUGGACCCCGCCAGCCACCCAGCACCCCUUCCCUCCCUCCUCCUACUGGUGACGGGAGAAGACAGGAGGAGGAGGAGGAGGGUUAGUGCCUGAUCCAGCAAGGUGAUUCACUGUCACCUGUUACUGUCCGUCCACCCUCAGGAAAGCCCUUUGAGAUCCAGGUGCCUCGAUCCAUGGCCAGCUUGAAGAGUUCUGCGUCCAGGCCGAGACGGUGAACCUGGUGACUGUCCAGGAGGCAGACAGGGAUGCAGUUUGGAGGCUGAUUUGGAGGAAGAAGAGGAGGAGGAAGAGAUAACAAGAGGAACAGAAGAAGGAGAAGUAAUCUCUCUCUCUCUCUCUCUCUCUCUCUCUCUCUCUCUCUCUCUCUCUCUCUCUCUCUCUCACACACACACACACACACACACACACACAGUAAAACACACAAUUUCUUCUUAAUUUCAAAAACUUUAUUAAUAUAUAUUUUGACAACGUCCAAUCAGGUUCCACAGACUGGCUCCUCCCCGAACCCUUCUGUGGGGGCAUAAUUUGAGCCAUAGAAGGCCGGGGGAAGAUCUAGCCUAUGGAACCUUAUACACAGACAUACAUAUAUACACACAUAGAGUACCUCCUCUCUCUCUUUCCUCCUCCUCCUCUUCCUCUUGAUGUGGCAGUGUCAGGAGAAGAGAUCACCUGGGAGAUUGAACAAGUCCUGGAGAUGUUGAAGAAGGAAUAUAUAUAUAUAUAUAUAUAUAUAUAUAUAUAUAUAUAUAUAUAUAUAUAUAUAUAUAUAUAUAUAUAUAUAUAUAUAUAUAUAUAUAUAUAUAUAUAUAUAUAUAUACCUCACCUCAGCCCACAGGAUGUCCCACCACAGUAUGUUGACAAUCCCCACAGACACAUAACCCCCAGCCACAUAACAGGACCCCUCUCUCUCUCUCGCUCUCUCUCUCUCGCUCUCUCUCUCUCUCUCUCUCAGGUCAUAAGGUCAACAGGAUGUUUAUAACCCCUACAGACACAUGCCCUCUUAGACAGCAACCCAACCCACACCAUAGAUAGCCACAUGACCUCCCCUGUGUGUGUGUGUGCUGUUCUAUUGAUAAAUAAAGAUGGAAUUGCAAUGUGUGUUAUUAUUAUUGUUAUUCCAAUGGGUUUGAAGAGAGAGAGAGAGAGAGAGAGAGAGAGAGAGAGAGAGAGAGAGAGAGAGAGAGAGAGAGAGAGAGAGAGAGAGAGAGAGAGAGAGUGAAGGAAAUAAA